UCUCAGCCCCGAGGGUGCCGUUCCCCACCGGAUUUCCAAAGGCUUAAGAGCACCUUCCUCCUCCCGGGAUCUCAGACGGCCGGGAUUCUAGGCUCCUCGGCGGACCCAGAUGCACAGGGGUCAAGCCCGGAAGACGCGAUUACUAAGAUUCUGUUGGACUCUUGGAGCCCUCUCAUCUGUCUGAGAUUGUGUAGAGAGGCCUGAGGAAGAAGACAGUUUCGCCUGCCCCUGCCUCGGGAUCCUCGGGGCUUGGGAUGUGUAAUCCAGGUUCUUCCCGAUGCUGUGAGUAAAACUGGAUACCCUCACCCAAGGAUGCUUCAUGGGAGGAAGGUUCGACAUUAGAUUGAUAAGCUCAAGGAUGGAAGAGGGUGUUUGAGAGUCUGAUGCAAGAGAAAAGAUAUACAGUGUCCUCUUGGGCAUACCC